AUUGAACGCUGGCGGCAUGCCUUACACAUGCAAGUCGAACGGCAGCACGGGAGCAAUCCUGGUGGCGAGUGGCGAACGGGUGAGUAAUAUAUCGGAACGUGCCCAGUCGUGGGGGAUAACGUAGCGAAAGCUACGCUAAUACCGCAUACGAUCUAUGGAUGAAAGCGGGGGAUCGCAAGACCUCGCGCGAUUGGAGCGGCCGAUAUCAGAUUAGGUAGUUGGUGAGGUAAAGGCUCACCAAGCCGACGAUCUGUAGCUGGUCUGAGAGGACGACCAGCCACACUGGGACUGAGACACGGCCCAGACUCCUACGGGAGGCAGCAGUGGGGAAUUUUUGGACAAUGGGCGCAAGCCUGAUCCAGCAAUGCCGCGUGCAGGAUG
rnacentral:rRNA from 1 species